UACAGAGGUCUCAAGCGUUGUUCGGAUUCAUUGGGCGUAAAGGGUGCGUAGGUGGCGCCGUAAGUCAGGUGUGAAAUUUCGGAGCUUAACUCCGAAACUGCAUUUGAUACUGCGGUGCUUUGAGGACUGGAGAGGAGACUGGAAUUUACGGUGUAGCAGUGAAAUGCGUAGAGAUCGUAAGGAAGACCAGUGGCGAAGGCGGGUCUCUGGACAGUUCCUGACACUGAGGCAACGGAAGGCCCAGGGGGGAGCAAAACGGGGA
rnacentral:rRNA from 1 species